rnacentral:misc_RNA from 1 species
GCAUAAAAACAAAGACCACACUGCACGUACAAUAUAUGUAUAUUGUAUGUUGCAUAUGACGGUUCCAACCACACGCUCGCGUGUGUCAGGUCCGUUUAAAUAUAUAGAUCGUGUAAGAUCGCUGACACACGGGUGGCUCGCCUCACGGCUCGCAACCGAAGCGACUCUUCGGACUACUGUCAUUGCGUACGGUAUACCAGAGAGUGAGUUCGGUCGACCGUCGACGGUGGGUUUCCUCACGGCUCGCAACCGAAGCGACUCUUCGGACUACUGUCAUUGCGUACGGUAUACCAGAGAGUGAGUUCGGUCGACCGUCGACGGUGGGUUUCUCUCCGUGCGUAGGCGGACUCGACGUCCGAAGAGCGUAUCGACGUCGCCUUCGACGCGUCGUGUGUGUGUGUAAUGCACAACACGCGCUCGUUUGCGCCGCCGUAGCGCUGACGGAUAUCGAGUCUGCCUCUCAUUUUAUCGUUGGCCUCAGAUCAGGGAGGAUCACCCGCCGAAUUUAA